GGGGUCUGCCUGCAGUUUGGGUGCCCGGAGGGUGCUCCACGUGGGUAGGGCCUUAAUGGGCCUACGCGGGGGCUUGGCUCGACUGUCCUGAUGAUACUGGAAAUAGGAAGUGCCGUCAGAGACGAUAACUGACGACGUUUAUGCUUGUCUGACCGCAGUCCCUGAAACCUCCACGGUUUAGUUGGACGUAACUGCCAGAAUCUGCCCUAAAUUCUUGGCCUUAUUCCGUUUCAGAUGAUGGCGCGCACUGCAGAGUGAAGACAGGGUAACUAUGAGGUGAGAGCUCCGUCUGGAUAAGGUUUAAUAUGUAACCUAGUUGUAAUUUUAUCUUCAACGAGCUGGAAUUGAUGUUUUGCAGUUGUAAGUUCUAUACAUUGAACAUUGUGUCAAGCCAUCAUAUAGAGUCAAACAUUCCUAACCUAGAACUGCAUCUGAACCAAAGCUAUAAGUGGAAACAAAGUUUUUCUUAAAUGUCUCCUCUGGCUGCUUUAAGGUAAUUUUAGCUUAGUUUCAGGUCAUGUCCAGGUCUCCGGUUGGAGCAAUACUGGAGACGGUGAGGUGUUUUGACUGCUCUGAUGAAAUCACUAAUAGGAAGUGCCGUCAGAAGCGAUAACUGACGAUAACUACUCUUGUCUGACUGCAGUCAACAAGUCCACCAGAUGCUGUUUUGCAGGAGUAAAUUUGUCUGAACUGUGACCUAUACUUGCUGUAUUCAUCCAGGUUGCAAAUUGGUGAAGGAUCACCAGCAUGUUCAGUGGCUGGCUGAGUAUUGGACCCAGGAGCACUGGCCUGUGAGGUUUUGAGAACUGAGUGCUGGAAUGUACAGGUUCAGAGCUGGCAGCCACAGCAGCUCAGCCCAGGAGGAGGAGGCUGUGUCCCCAGAGGAUGGAUGUCAGUCUGAAGUGAAGGACCAGUGGCUGUUAUCAACUUGGAUUCUGAAAACCUAACUGGCUUCAACAACAUUGGUGUAGAAACAUACUUGCCUUGUGUAAGCAAGGACAUUCUCAAGCCAAGCAAUGUAUUGGGCAACUUUUUU